GUGCUCGCUUCAGCAGCAUAUAUACCAUAAUUGGAAUGAUUCACAGAAGAUUAGCAUGGGCUCUGUGCAAAGAUGGCACAUCAAUUUGUGAAGCAUUUCAUAAUUUU
rnacentral:snRNA from 1 species